rnacentral:rRNA from 1 species
GACGAACGCUGGCGGCGUGCUUAACACAUGCAAGUCGAGCGGUAAGGCCCUUUCGGGGGUACACGAGCGGCGAACGGGUGAGUAACACGUGGGUGACCUGCCUUCAGCUCUGGGAUAAGCCUGGGAAACUGGGUCUAAUACCGGAUACGACUCCGCGGUGCAUGCUGUGGGGUGGAAAGCCUUGUGCGGCUGGAGAUGGGCCCGCGGCCUAUCAGCUUGUUGGUGGGGUGAUGGCCACCAAGGCGACGACGGGUAGCCGGCCUGAGAGGGCGACCGGCCACACUGGGACUGAGACACGGCCCAGACUCCUACGGGAGGCAGCAGUGGGGAAUCUUGCGCAAUGGGCGAAAGCCUGACGCAGCGACGCCGCGUGAGGGAUGACGGCCUCGGUUGUAA